ensembl:lncRNA
AUUUUACCUACUUUUAUUUUUUAAAAAUAUAUGGAUGUCAACUUAAAAAAUACAAGGCUAUUUUUGAGAGACUGCAGAUUGGGUAUUUCAGCUUGCACUGUAUUUGAUAUCAAAGAAAGAAAUACACUGUAAAAAAAAAAUAUAUAUAACAAUGUCAGCAAAAACCACAAUGUACAACACGCUUAUUAAACUACUGCUAGCUUGUCCUGAGAGAAAUAGUUUAACUUAUUUGCCUUUACAAAUAUCAGAGAUAACCUCUCUAAUAUUAUCUGGUCUUUACCUCAUAUAAAGCACCUUGAGAUGGCUGUUAUUGUGAUUUUGCUAUAUAAACUGAAUCCAGUUCAAUUCAGUUGAAAUGAAAUAAAAUAACUGCCACAACUGGUAGCUUCUAGAGGGUAGACUUAACUCAUGUUUGGUGCCACCGGUAACAUUGCACAGAUUUAGGCAGAAUUGUAAAUGCAGAAUCAAGAUAACUUUUUAAUUUUGUUUUUCUUAGAAGUCAUCUUUAUUGGUCAAUUAAUGCCUUAUAUCAUAUGGCAAUUAUUUUUCUACAGAUUAUUCAUUUAAUUUUUGUUUUGUUUCUCAUAGUUGCACAUACUACUAAGAUGAUUAGGCGUCUUUUACAGUCAAUAUUCAACAUGCUGCACAGGAAUAGUUGCCUUAUUUUUCUGACAGAAAAUGAGCACUGCUUUGUUUUCAGAAAAGUUGUCUAACUCUGCAGAUGUCCCUUGCCAUUCCAAAUCUUGCUCGAACAUUCCAACAUAGUAUCAGUCGUAGACAGUAUAAAAGAUGGUUGUAGCUUCUGGGUUGUGGAAUAUGAAGCCAAUGCAGAAGUGCCUUAAACCUAAAGUAUACUCUGUCACAAGUCAAGCUAUUGUCACAGAUGACAAUAGCUUUUCUUGCAGAGACUUUAUUUUCUUAUAUAAGUCUACUGGAAAAAUGGCUUUCUGUUUUGACCUGUUUUGAUCUGUCUUGACCCGAUGUGUUUAUGAACUUAGUCGCUCAUUUUGGGUCGCAUUAAAUGCAAAAAAUAAGCCUAUUUUAUAAAAUCUUGGUCAUUUAAAAAAAAAGAAAAGAAAAAAGAAGAGUAUUAUCCAUGGUAUUCUGUCAUCACGCUCACUGCCUAAAAAUCUAUCAAUUAUAAGUCAUUAUUCAGUGAGGAAAUCACAUUUCUUUAAAACUAAGAUGGCACAAUAAAAGCACUAAUCUUAAGGCUUCUUAACCAGUGGAUUACAUCAUAGUAACUACUUCCACCUUUUACACUGGCUGUGAUACCAGUAAAGUUGUUUUCAGACCAGUGCACAUGACUUCUAAAAAUAUGCAUUUAAAAAAAACUAUUUCUCUUUGAUAACGCCAGCUGAUAGCAGUAGAUCAAGCAAGCAAAAACAUUCUUUUAUAGCAGGUACAUUUGACUGCUGAAAAAUCCAACCUCACCGAAACAGGUUAGAUUUUACAAAAUCUAUUACACUGUUACAUAGUCACACAUGGGCAGCAGUUUAAUAUACUACAGAGUAGAGGAGGUACUAGCAGACAUGAGCCCUAAAGUUGCUUUUUUUUUCCUUUUAAUUAUUUUUUUUUUCUUUUUGCCUAUUGUCAUUGUUUAAAAUUGGUUAAUGGAAGCUAAUAAAAUCCC